rfam:Schistosoma curassoni strain Dakar, Senegal genome assembly, scaffold: SCTD_scaffold0000015
GCCCAGCUGACAAGUCGCAAAUAAGACGAAACGCAUGUCCUGGAU